UGAUGAAGUUGGCUUGGAAUUUACUCUCUAAUGACAAUGCCUUUUGGGUGCAGGUUCUCCGAGGAAAAUAUUUGAAAGGUGCUAAGCUCAACCACCUGAUGAAACCAAACCCCAAUUAUUCCUUUACCUAGCGUGGUAUUUGCUCAUUUUGGGAGUCAACCAGCAGGGGCAUUUCGAGUUCCAUCAGUGAUGGUGCUAGUGCGCUUUUCUAGGAUGACAAUUAGGUUACGAGAGUUGGCACUCUGAAAGAUGUCGUCACUAGACCUAUUCCAGUCCAUCUCAGAGGUCUGCUUUCGAUCUAAUCUCGAAGAACCAGGAUUGCCGAGUGAACUGAAUUUGUGAAAUAAUUUGAAAAUGGGAAGGUCCUAGAAAAGUUAGGUCUACGUUGUGGCUGUUAGCACACGACAGACUACCAACAAAUAAUUUUUGCACUAGAAGAUCAAUCAUCCCCUCCGCAGCUGUGUGCAAUGUAAUUAAGUUGAGGAAGACGCUCUUCACGCGAUCAAAGACUGCCAUAUGGCGAACACAGUCUGGCUUAAGCUGGUAAAGCCUGAAAAUUGGCAAAGCUUCUUUUCGCUGGAUAUUCAUGCUUGGAUAUCCAAGUACUUAUCUCAAAAGAACCUUGAGGUUUUGGAUGAGUUUGCUUGGAACUUAAUGUUUGGGUUAACUAUUUGGCAUUUAUGGGUUUGGAGGAAUAAUGUAGUUUUAAUUCUGGUUCAGUAGAGCAUAAGGGCCUCCUACAUACCAUCAUGUUGUGUUGUCGCAAUGUUUUUGAGGCGUUAAAGAGUAAGGUAAACCCUACAGGUACUAAUGCUAUUUCUAGAAGUCGUGUUACUGCUUGAAAAUUUCCUAAUUUUGGCUAGAUUAAGUUAAACUUUGAUGAAGGGCUUUGUAACAAUAUAACCACUACUGAUGGUCUUUUGCAUGAUGAUAAAGGGAACUGAAUUGCUGGAUUCUCUCAAAAAACUGGUUCAUGUUCAGUGUUUGAGGCUGAGAUGUGGGGUCUAUUCACAGGUCUUCAACUUGCUUGGUCCCUUGGAUUUCAAAGAAUUCAAGUUGAGAUGGAUUCUAUUAAUGUUUUUGACUCCGUCUCUUUGUCUAUGGAUGUUGAUUCUCCUAACUGCAACAUUGUUAAGGGACUCUUUACUUAAAAGGGAGUGGCAUGCUCAUAUUUACAGAGAAGCGAAUGUUUGUGCUGAUUUUCUUACGAGUCUUUGAUCUUCAGCUUGGUGUUCAUUCGAUGCUCGAGUAUCCUACUGUUAUUGCGCCUCUAUUUCUGGGUGAUGCUAUGGGCAUCAGUCUUCUGAAUACGUAGUGUCUUGUUUGUGUUUUUCGAGCCUUUCCUUGUUUUGUUUCACCAAAAAUGCAAAAACACAUAUCUCAAAACCAUCAACACUGCAUAUUAUACUUGCACAUGUAUAUUAGCUGCAACAUAACAAAGUUUUACAUACUCAAAUCUUAAUAAUAAGCCACAAAAUCUGAACUUCUAAAUA